GAGGGUGUAGCUCAAGAGGUAAAGCAUGUGCUUAGCAUGAACAAGGUCCUAGGUUCAACCCCCAGAACCCUCA
rnacentral:tRNA from 1 species